rnacentral:rRNA from 1 species
UGGGGAAUAUUGCACAAUGGGGGAAACCCUGAUGCAGCGACGCCGCGUGAACGACGAAGGUAUUCGUAUCGUAAAGUUCUGUCCUAUGGGAAGAUAAUGACAGUACCAUAGAAGAAAGCUCCGGCUAAAUACGUGCCAGCAGCCGCGGUAAUACGUAUGGAGCGAGCGUUGUCCGGAAUUAUUGGGCGUAAAGGGUACGCAGGCGGUUUAAUAAGUCGAAUGUUAAAGAUCGGGGCUCAACCCCGCAAAGCAUUGGAAACUGAUAAACUUGAGUAGUGGAGAGGAAAGUGGAAUUCCUAGUGUAGGGGUGAAAUACGUAGAUAUUAGGAGGAAUACCAGUAGCGAAGGCGACUUUCGGGACACAAACAGACGCUGAGGUACGAAAGCGUGGGGAGCAAACAGG